rnacentral:rRNA from 1 species
UCCGGGGGGGGCAAGCGUUGUUCGGAAUUACUGGGCGUAAAGGGCUCGUAGGUGGCCAACUAAGUCAGACGUGAAAUCCCUCAGCUUAACUGGGGAACUGCGUCUGAUACUGGAUGGCUUGAGUUUGGGAGAGGGAUGCGGAAUUCCAGGUGUAGCGGUGAAAUGCGUAGAUAUCUGGAGGAACACCGGUGGCGAAGGCGGCAUCCUGGACCGGCAUUGACGCUGAGGGGCGAAAGCCAGGGGAGCAAACGGG